CCCGUGGCCUCAACAGCGAUCCAGUAGAGUCUGUGUUCAGCUGCUUCCGCCAAUUCAAUGGUGGUAAUGACCGAGUUGAUGCAAGAGCCGCAGUCUUCACAGCGGAGAAGUUGCUGAAGGUCGGGAUUUUACAGGCUGCCAGCACUGGAAACGCGCCAUCAAGUUCAGAGUGCAAGACAGCGCUGAAAGGUUGGAACCACGACGGUGACCGAGAAGACCCAGCUAUACCGGAGGCAGCCCUGGCAGUGUUGUGGAAGUUGCAGCAUGUGAUGAAGCACGACGAGGUCCCUCCACACCUUGAGUUCGCACCGCUCACAUACAUGGCGGGGUACCUGGCUUUCGUCUGUGAGCAAAGGGUGGCGUGCCGUGAAUGCAAGGUGCGACUAAAAGGAAGUGCUUCGCGGGCUGGAGCGUAUCACUUCACAUUCAGUCUUGACCAAGGUGGACUGAGCUACCCGCGGCCUGAAGUCGUCUGGUUAUGCAAGCUGCUGUGUACUUUCGUCGAAUUAGCUCUGCAGUCUGCGGAAGUUUAUCGCUGUGGGAAACUGUGCCAGCUCCUCUCAUGUGCUGUGCUCCCACACCUCAUGGUUUGCCCGCUCAUGUGGUGUGCAAAGUGUACGGACCAGUAUCACUGUCGAGAGCUUUGCGAGAUAUUUCUAAAAAAGUUCCUGAGACC